UACGUAGGGUGCAAGCGUUAAUCGGAAUUACUGGGCGUAAAGCGUGCGCAGGCGGUUGUGUAAGACAGAUGUGAAAUCCCCGGGCUCAACCUGGGAACUGCAUUUGUGACUGCACAGCUGGAGUGCGGCAGAGGGGGAUGGAAUUCCGCGUGUAGCAGUGAAAUGCGUAGAUAUGCGGAGGAACACCGAUGGCGAAGGCAAUCCCCUGGGCCUGCACUGACGCUCAUGCACGAAAGCGUGGGGAGCAAACGGG
rnacentral:rRNA from 1 species